rnacentral:rRNA from 1 species
UACAGAGGGUGCGAGCGUUAAUCGGAAUUACUGGGCGUAAAGCGCGCGUAGACGGUUUUGUAAGUCAGAUGUGAAAUCCCUGGGCUCAACCUGGGAACUGCAUUUGAGACUGCAUGGCUAGAGUAUGGAAGAGGGAAGUGGAAUUUCCGGUGUAGCGGUGAAAUGCGUAGAUAUCGGAAGGAACAUCAGUGGCGAAAGCGGCUUCCUGGACUAAUAUUGACACUGAGGUGCGAAAGCGUGGGGAGCAAACAGG